AAUACUCGAAAACCGGUACCCAGUUCGGACUGCAGGCUGCAACUCGCCUGCACGAAGCCGGAGUUGCUAGUAAUCGCGCAUCAGCCAUGGCGCGGUGAAUACGUUCCCGGGCCUUGUACACACCGCCCGUCAAGCCAUGGGAGCCGGGGGCGCCUGAAGUCCGGGACCGCGAGGACCGGCCUAGGGCGAAACUGGUAACUGGGGUGAAGUCGUAACAAGGUAGC
rnacentral:rRNA from 1 species